rnacentral:lncRNA from 1 species
AAAUUGCAAGUUAUUAUAAUUUUUUUUAUUCUAGCUCAAUAUUAUAAAUAAAAAAUAUGUAAAAAAAAUAAGGGGUGGGUCUAAUCCAGAUAAGAGAAAUGAAAAAGAAAAUAAAAAGAAAAACAAAUAAAAAGAAAAAAAAAUUUAAAUAGUCAGAAAAACCAAAAAAAAAAUCCUAAAGGUUAGGAUUAAGACUCGACGCUCAAGCAAAUAUGAAAUUCGGAAAAUCAAAGUGAUCCGUAAAAAAAUCCUCCCUAAUGAAAUAA